UACAGAGGGCGCGAGCGUUGUCCGGAAUUACUGGGCGUAAAGCGCACGUAGGCGGCUUUGUAAGUUAGAGGUGAAAGCCCAGGGCUCAACCCUGGAAUUGCCUUUAAGACUGCAUCGCUUGAACAUCGGAGAGGUAAGUGGAAUUCCGAGUGUAGAGGUGAAAUUCGUAGAUAUUCGGAAGAACACCAGUGGCGAAGGCGACUUACUGGACGAUUGUUGACGCUGAGGUGCGAAAGCGUGGGGAGCAAACAGG
rnacentral:rRNA from 1 species